UAGUCCUUUGGUUGCUCGGCGAAAAGGUCGUCCAGUUACUAAAAGAAAGGUUGCCAAAGUAGAUCAAAUAGUGAAUCGGUUGAAGGCAAGCAAAAGAAAACAUAACAAAUCAAAGGGUACUAAGGUGCUUGGAGGUGAAGGUGAAGGUCAAUGUCAAUCUCAACCUGAAUGUAGUGUACGUAGAGAGCUUUAUCCUUAUGUGGUUGGCAUGGAAAAUAAUAUGUGUGUGCCGGUACGUAUACAUCAUAGGAUUUUACAUUGAGCAAUUUAUGUUAUUCUCCAAUUUAUUUUAACAUUUCAUUUUAAUUGAAUAGGGACACAUGGUCAAUGCUAUUGGAGGCACAUCUCUCACCCCGGCAAGUGUGGACAUUAUGAGAAGACAAAGUUUCAUAAAUCCCCCAACUCAGAUUUAUGGAGUUGGCACAUCGCUUACCCCGUCGGACUGUAUUGGAGGCACACCGGGAUUUACGAGAACUCAACAAUCCAUGACUGCUACGCAUCAAAUUUAUGGAGCUGUACCAUCUUCAUUUGUUGACUUCAAUGUACAAAUGAACCACAAUGACCGUGGCGGUAGUUUUCGUUAGUUGGAAACUUGUAAUUGUAAUGCCUUUUAUGUGACUAAACUUGGAUUUUAUUUUGUUUUGGAUAAUUUAUUUAAUAUAUUUUUGGAUUGUUCAGUUUCUUUA